CCUACGGGAGGCUGCAGUGAGGAAUAUUGGUCAAUGGGCGCUAGCCUGAACCAGCCAAGUAGCGUGAAGGAUGACUGCCCUAUGGGUUAUAAACUUCUUUUAUAUGGGAGUAAAGUGCAGUAUGUAUACUGCUUUGCAUGUACCUUAUGAAUAAGGAUCGGCUAACUCCGUGCCAGCAGCCGCGGUAAUACGGAGGAUCCGAGCGUUAUCCGGUUUUAUUGGGUUUAAAGGGAGCGUAGGUGGGUUGUUAAGUCAGUUGUGAAAGUUUGAGGCUCAACCGUAAAAUUGCAGUUGAUACUGGCAGCCUAGAGUACAGGAGAGGUAGGCGGAAUGCGUGGUGUAGCGGUGAAAUGCUUAGAUAUCACGAAGAACUCCGAUUGCGAAGGCAGCCUGCUGGACUGUAACUGACGCUGAUGCACGAAAGUGUGGGGAUCAAACAGGAUUAGAUACCCGAGUAGUC
rnacentral:rRNA from 1 species